UGGGGGGAGUUUGCAUUGCUUAAUAGCGGAACGACAGUCAAUUUGCGGGAGACUCCCGAAACUGCCGGGAGAGUGGGUGUGGCCUGAUGCCCCUCCCAUAUACAGUGCUUUCCCAGCAGAAACAUACUCCGAUCCAGCCGUGCAGAAGGAGCAGCGGCCUCUGCUGGCUGUCGUUGCCAACCAUCCAACCCGGCUCCCUCAAUCCAAGUCCCCGUCUGUGACGCUGACACAUUCCUUGUACUCAAACAGACGGCUCCAUGUCUGCAUUGGAUCUGAUUUCCACCAAUGAAGCUCUACAAUAUAGGGCACCUGAUUAUAGUGACCAUACAGCAGAUAUGCCAGUGCAGCACUUUGGUCAGUAGAUGGCAGCACUGCGCCAUCGCUGAUACCUGCGUUUGCUUUUAUUUUUCCUGUUGUCCCUCUUGUUUAAAUUUGUGUCUUAAGUAUUUCAUGUCUUGUUUUUCAUGUUGAUGUACAGUAAAUGAUUCCUGACUUACUCU